UACGAAGGGGGGCUAGCGUUGCUCGGAAUCACUGGGCGUAAAGGGUGCGUAGGCGGGUCUUUAAGUCAGGGGUGAAAUCCUGGAGCUCAACUCCAGAACUGCCUUUGAUACUGAAGAUCUUGAGUUCGGAGAGGUGAGUGGAACUGCGAGUGUAGAGGUGAAAUUCGUAGAUAUUCGCAAGAACACCAGUGGCGAAGGCGGCUCACUGGCCCGAUACUGACGCUGAGGCACGAAAGCGUGGGGGAGACAAACA
rnacentral:rRNA from 1 species